AUAUGUUUUGGGGGUUUCUCUGGCCACAGUAUGAAACGUACAAUCCUCAUACUGGCCAGCGAAAUCCCAAAAACAGAA